ensembl:lncRNA
UUUUUUUUUUUUUUUUUGGUAUUGCCCAGGCUUGUCUCAAACUCCUGGGCUCAAGUGAUCCUCCUGCCUCAGCCUCCCAAAGUGCUGGGAUUACAGGCACGAGCCCAUUUUCAAGAUGAAGAAACUGAGGCCUGGAGAGAUGAAGUAUUAAUACAGCGUCUAAGGUCACAGUUCUUCAGUUCAGGCAGAACCACCAGGCAUGUCUGGCUCUAAAGCAGUGAUCGUUAGUCCUGACUGCACAUUUAGAAACACCUGGAGGGCUUUAUGAAAUCACAAUGCUGAGUUUGAACCCCAGAAAAACUACAUCAGAAUCUCUCAUCAGUAUUUUUUUUUUCUUUUUAAUUCUCCAGGCAAUUCCAUGUGUAGCCAAGUUUGAGGACCACUGAUUUAAAGUGAGGGACCUUAAUCUCUCAACCAGCAUUUCUCAAACCUGGGAUCUUCCUUAAAAAUAUACAGACUCCCAGGCCUCUCUCUUGCAAAUGCUGAACUAGAUGCCUGGGGCAGGGUCUAGCAUCGUGUUUUUCACAGUCACCCUAGAUGAACAUGAUUACCAGACCUGUGUCUGACCUACCUUCUCCCGCCUCCAGGGCUACAAAGAACCAGACCAGUGGGCCCUGGCCACUGGCCCCUGAGAGGCAGGGCAGGAGCUGUGUUCCCCUAGAAGCAUGUGCCAGGGGAAACUUGGACCCUGGAGGAGUGGGGCAGUAGGUGGGGAGAAGGAGGGUAGGAAGGUUAACCAUUUGCAUCCACAUACAUUGUUCCUUGAAGACAGUACCAUCCCCAUCCCACUCCUAGCCCCGGAGCAACUCAACCUCAACCAGACUGUUGCAGAAAGUGGUUUUUGGUUUUUUGUUUGUUUUUGAGAUGGAGUCUCGCUCUGUUGUCCAGACUGAAGUGCAGUGGCCUGAUCUAGGCUCACGGCAAACUCCGUCUCCCGGGUUCAAGCGAUUCUCCUGCCUCAGCCUCCCAUAGUUGGAAUUAUAGGUGCAUGCCACCAUUCCCGGCUGAUUUUUGUAUUUGUAGUAGAGACAGGGUUUCACCAUGUUGGCCAGGCUGGUUUCAAACUCCUGACCUCAAGUGGUCCACCCACCUCGGCCUCACAAAGUGCUGGGAUUGCAGGCGUGAGCCACCGCGCCCAGCCUUGUUUUCUUCCCUUUCUUGUAGUUUGGAAAUUCUCUUUCCUGGGUGGAAGCAAUGGCUUAGAGGCACAGGGUGGGAUGAGAAGCCCAGAUUGUAUCAGGGGUGCCGCAAUGUGUUUAUCCCACGUGGACAAAGCUAGGGCCUUGUGAAAAAGCAUGGGAAUCCCGUGGCAUCCUCUCCUUUGCCAAGGCAGUGUGAAGCACCUGUGCCUCCCACAUGAGGCUGCAGGACUCAGGCAGUUAGGGCUGCCUGUCUCUGUCUUUUCAAAGACAAUUGCUGCAAGCCAGCUGGCUCCUAGGGGACACAAGGAGGCUGAAGAGAAUGAGGAAACUCCAGGAAGACAGAAAUAGCCUCUUUAGCCCAGAUCAGACUUUUAACAGCUUUGCUUUCCUUCUUGGUGCUUCCCAAGGCCAAGUCCCGAGCGAGAACAGAAGCAUUGUCUUGUGUCUGGAGGCAGACAGAGGGGACAUUUAAAGACUGGCCCGGUGACGGGAAGACAACCCAUUCAAGGACCCAGAGCAAGCUCUUUCUCAUAAGCUGGCAGGGUACGCAGAUGAAUAGCGAGGUCA